GACGAACGCUGGCGGCGUGCUUAACACAUGCAAGUCGAACGAAGUGGCGAACGGGUGAGUAACGCGUGAUAAACCUGCCCUUCAGAGGGGGAAAACAGUGGGAAACGACUGCUAAUACCGCAUACGGAAGGAGGGGAUGGCGUCUGAAUAGCUAGUUGGGGGGGGAACGGCCCACCAAGGCGAUGAUCAGUAGGCGGGCUGAGAGGUUGAACGGCCACAUUGGGACUGGGACACGGCCCCGACUCCUACGGGAGGCCGCAGGGGGGAAUCGUCCGCAAUGGACGAAAGUCUGACGAAGCAACUCCGCGUGAGUGAUGACGGCCUUCGGGUUGUAAAGCUCUGUUAAUCGGGACGCGGUACCGGAAUAGAAAGCCACGGCUAACUACGUGCCAGCAGCCGCGGUAAUAC
rnacentral:rRNA from 1 species